rnacentral:rRNA from 1 species
UACGUAGGUGGCAAGCGUUGUCCGGAUUUACUGGGCGUAAAGAGCGCGCAGGCGGUCGUUCAAGUCGCGUGUGAAAGCCCCCGGCUCAACUGGGGAGGGUCACGCGAUACUGAUCGACUCGAAGGCAGGAGAGGGUAGUGGAAUUCCCGGUGUAGUGGUGAAAUGCGUAGAUAUCGGGAGGAACACCGGUGGCGAAGGCGGCAUCCUGGACCGACAUUGACGCUGAGGCGCGAAAGCCAGGGGAGCAAACGGG